rnacentral:rRNA from 1 species
GGUGCCCUCCCUAGUCUGUACCAAAUCCUUACACACCGACGACACAGGAUCGAAAAUUUCUCGGCGGCGGCGGCGACGGCGACGACCAAGAUCCUGAGCCAAGCUAGGCGGGCUCGAGCAGCAAAGAUGCUGAUCCAUCUCCUCUCCGAUGGCUCCUAGGUCCUAGCCGUUUCGUCGCAGGUGGCGCAGUUUGAGGCAGAUUAGAUCGGAUUCCUCACCUCCUCCCCACUCUCAGGCUCCCAGAUCAGCUCGCGGCCGUCCUCCUCCACCCCCACCCCCUCUCGCGAUUCAGCACUAGCUCAACGCUCGUGGAUCCUCGCCUCCUUCCCAGCCGGCCGCUCUCUGGUUCUGCGAACAGGCCGCCACGGUUCUUCGUUCUGCAGUUGCUGGAGUAGUAACAGCAGAAGAAUGAACAGCAGCUUGAGUAGAAUAGAAGCAGAUCCAUUCUGGUGAUGCUUAUGUUGGUUGGAUUCUUAUUUUAUCCAGAAGCAGCAUGUUGAUUAGUGCUAUGACUUAGUUAUGGUAUUGUGUAUUGCUACCAGAAGCAGCACGUGUACCGACUGUACAUAAACGCUAACCGAUUUCUAGCAUGAAGCAAUACACUAGCAAAUCUAGCUAUUCCGGCGAGAUGCACUAGUACAGGAAGUAGGCUGCUCUGGCUUCGUCGAUUCUUCAGCGGCAAGCCGACACGCACACACGAUCCAGUAAUGGAGGGUAGCAGUGCGAUGUCUCCGCUAGGAGAGCCCUCAAUUCCAAUGAUCGCAGCAUGUGCACCAGCACUAUCACGUGUGAGAAUAGCGGUAGAUCGAACUGAUCAAGUGUCCAUGGAGGUUGUCAUCUCUCUCCCAGCAGGAAGCUCGAUUGCCAGGAAGCACUAACACGAGGCAAAAUGAUAGAUAUUUUCGUUCUUGUACCAGCAAGAUGCUUGUUGGGCGAUGAUAAUUUCAGUCUUUACCACUUGGUCUUGCCGGCCAUAUACUAAAAAUAAUCUGUAUGCCACAUGUACUCAAGUACUCAAAUGCUUGCUAAGCACUGAUAAUUCCAGUCCUUAAUUUG